AUUGAACGCUGGCGGCAGGCCUAACACAUGCAAGUCGAGCGGAGCGGCGGACGGGCGAGUAAUGCCUAGGAAUCUGCCUGGUAGCGGGGGAUAACGUCCGGAAACGGGAGCUAAUACCGCAUACUAUCAGAAGAGCCUAGGUCGGAUUAGCUAGAUGGUGGGGUAAAGGCCUACCAAGGCGACGACCAGUAACUGGCUUGAGAGGAUGAUCAGUCACACUGGAACUGAGACACAGUCCAGACGCCUACGGUAGGCAGCAGUGGUGAAUAUUGGACAAGGGUCGAGAGCCUUAUGCAGCCAUGCCGCGUGUGUGAAGAAGGUCUUCGGAUUGUAAAGCACUUUAAGUUGGGAGGCGUUACCAACAGAAUAAGCACCGGCUAACUUCGUGCCAGCAGCCGCGGUAAUUC
rnacentral:rRNA from 1 species